GCGGUUAAGGUUCGGCGAUCGGAGCAGGCAGAGCUUUGGUGCACGACGCGCAAAGAAACAGAAGCCACGAUGGUGUCCACGGCACGGCGGAAUUUCUCGCGACGAAAAGACCACGAGGUACGAUCUGGAACGGAGGACGCGAGGCCGAGGCGAUCUUUUGCGCCGGCAGACAUCGACGACGUUGCUCGACAGGGCAAGCUGGAACGUGCACGUGAGUUGGUGAAACUACCCCCACCCCCGCGCGCCCACCCUAAAUUUUACUCCUGUAAAAGCGUGAACGACUUCCCGCGACGCUUCUGUGUUGAAAGCCACCUUGAACUGCAGGCAAAUCUACAAGAACGCACGGCUACGGAUGAAGCAACACUAUACCUGCAGUCGGGCAAGUCGGCGGGUUCGGUAUAACAACUGCAAGUUCGCACGGAGACGAACGCUACAGUUUUACGAAGAAAGAAAAACGGCGCCUGAUGUGGCAGACGAUGCUCGAACGACGUACUACAGCGCUGGAAAUGCAUUGGGAACAGACGGCGACGAACCAACUUGUAACGCCGAGUCUGCCGUCGAAAACUCCGAACAAACCGAGCGCGUACGAAGACCCGGAGAAGACGCCGAAGAGUUCGCUGAAAAUCGUCGAUAGCUAACCCCGUAUGCAAAUUGCACGCUCCUUGACAUGUCACUCCGAGAAACUAUCGAAGCAUUUGUGUGUGUGUGUGUUAAGCGUAGCCCCAGUUCAGUGCCCUGUGCUACGAACGAGGUGGUCGAGAUGAGCAGACGACGCGCUGCGCUAGGCCUAGCGACGCGACCGUUAUGCACUUCACGCGAAGCUGUGGGUUUAUCGGCUAAGUGAGGUGAGUGAAGACACCAUCCGGGAAACUAUCGAAUCUUGUGUGUGUGUGUUAAGCGUAGGCCCCAGUUCAGUGCCCUGUGCUACGAAGGAGGCGGUCGAGAUGAGCAGACGACGCGCUGCGCUAGGCCUAGCGACGCGACCGUUAUUCACUUCAGGCGAAGCUGUGGCUUAUCGACGAAAUGAGAUAAGCAAAGUCCGCGAGAUGGGUACGUGGCAUUCCAUUUGCAGAUAAGGAAAGCCCGCGAGAUGGGUGAUCUCCCAGUUCGAUGCUGGCCGCCGUUACGAGCGAUGAAUCAUCUACGCAUAGGAAGACGGCUUAUGCAGAUGCAGGAAGAAUUACAUUGCAUAUAUAUGUGUGUCAGCGGCGCGUUCCACAUCAAUCAUCCAUCCGGCUAAUUGGCGCCGGUGGUGCGCCGUUCUCGAAGAAGCGUUCGCGAGACUGGUUUUUGUGACAGGGCCGCAUGCGCCCGUGCUGGCUCGGAGGAUCGACUACGGCGUUCCGCAUGAUCGACGCAAGGUAGUGGGCUCGAUCCCCGGGCCGCCGCGCGCCCCAGUGGUGUAUACGCAUUGCACUUUGCGAAUACGUCCGCGCGCGUAACAGUUGUGACGUUCUGCGUUUUGGGAUUAAUCCGAUAAAACACUCUGCGGUAAACAAAAUAUAAAGGAAUAAAUAAAUAAAGGGGGUGGCGCCCCAGCGGUAUACGCAUUGCACUUUGCGAAUACGUGCUUGCGCGUAACAGUUGUGACGUUCUGCGUUUUGGGAUUAAUCCGAUAAAACACUCUGCGGUAAACAAAAUAUAAAGGAAUAAAUAAAUAAAGGGGGAGGCGCCCCAGCGGUAUACGCAUUGCACUUUGCGAAUACGUGCGUGCGCGUAACAGUUGUGACGUUCUGCGUUUUGGGAUAAAUCCGAUAAAACACUUUCGGGUAAACGAAAGAUAAAGGAAUAAAUAAAUAC